GAGCUUGCUCUUAUGAAGUUAGCGGCGGACGGGUGAGUAACACGUGGGUAACCUGCCCAUAAGACUGGGAUAACUCCGGGAAACCGGGGCUAAUACCGGAUAACAUUUUGAACCGCAUGGUUCGAAAUUGAAAGGCGGCUUCGGCUGUCACUUAUGGAUGGACCCGCGUCGCAUUAGCUAGUUGGUGAGGUAACGGCUCACCAAGGCAACGAUGCGUAGCCGACCUGAGAGGGUGAUCGGCCACACUGGGACUGAGACACGGCCCAGACUCCUACGGGAGGCAGCAGUAGGGAAUCUUCCGCAAUGGACGAAAGUCUGACGGAGCAACGCCGCGUGAGUGAUGAAGGCUUUCGGGUCGUAAAACUCUGUUGUUAGGGAAGAACAAGUGCUAGUUGAAUAAGCUGGCACCUUGACGGUACCUAACCAGAAAGCCACGGCUAACUACGUGCCAGCAGCCGCGGUAAUACGUAGGUGGCAAGCGUUAUCCGGAAUUAUUGGGCGUAAAGCGCGCGCAGGUGGUUUCUUAAGUCUGAUGUGAAAGCCCACGGCUCAACCGUGGAGGGUCAUUGGAAACUGGGAGACUUGAGUGCAGAAGAGGAAAGUGGAAUUCCAUGUGUAGCGGUGAAAUGCGUAGAGAUAUGGAGGAAC
rnacentral:rRNA from 1 species